rnacentral:misc_RNA from 1 species
AUAGGCCCACCGGCUGUUCAGAAGGUACAAAAAUUUUAUAUCUUGUCUCUAUUUAUAUUAUAUUUGUUUGUUGCAAAAAUUCUAUAAAAUAUAAAAUUUCAAUUUCACAUUCUAUUCUUAGUGGAUGGUGGCUAAUUGAUUUCAUACGAUCCUUAAAGCUUCUUGAAGUUUUCAUUGGUAACUUGAAAUUCUCUGCAAGAUUGCAACUGUGACAGAAAUUGGUGAAAAUAUUGAAUUGGGCUAUAUAAUAAUUGGUACAGAAAAGAAAAAUCCCAAAUAAUGAGAAUUUGACCAAACUUAUGGUUAUUCCAAAUGUAUGCUAGGCUGGCCGCUAUAUGCCUAU